rnacentral:lncRNA from 1 species
UAGUUGAUAUCAGUCAUAUAAUAAAUAAUUUAACUCGAUAAUUAUGAAUUUAUCAAAUAAUUUUUAAUUUAUAGCGGUAACAUAUGAGUAACUAUAAAUAAUUUAAUUAUAUAACUAUGAGGUUAUCAAAUAACUUAUAAUGUAUAGCGGUAACAUAUGAUUUACAUAGUUAAUCAAAUAUAUAAUCACAAAAGUUACUACAUAACCAGA